AAACCAUGUUGCGGGCAUGAACUGACAAGAUCAUUAAACCACUCCCAACAUUGGAAGAAUGUCUCAUCUUACUUUUGAGCGAAGUUCAUAAUCGAAUUUCUGAUGGU